rnacentral:rRNA from 1 species
GAUGAACGCUGGCGGCAUGCCUAAUACAUGCAAGUCGAACGAACACACGAGGAGCUUUCUCCUCUGACUUUAGCGGCGGACGGGUGAGUAACACGUGUAUAACAUACCUAUAAGACUGGGAUAACUUCGGGGAACCGGAGCUAAUACCGGAAAAUAUAUUGAACCUCAAGGUUCAAUAGUUAAAGACGGUUUUGCUGUCGCUUAUAGCUGAAUCCGCGCCGCAUUAGCUAGUUGGUAAGGUAACGGCUUACCAAGGCAACGAUGCGUAGCCGACCUGAGAGGGUGAUCGGCCACACUGGAACUGAGACACGGUCCAGACUCCUACGGGAGGCAGCAGUAGGGAAUCUUGCGCAAUGGGCGAAAGCGUGAUGGAGCAACGCCGCGUGAAUGAUGAAGGUCUUCGGAUCGUAAAGUUCUGUUAGCAGGGAAGAAGGAAUGUGUAUGUAACUAUGAACGUAUUGACGGUACCGAAUGAGAAAGCCACGGCUAACUCCGUG